rnacentral:sRNA from 1 species
UGAAAAAUCAAAAAAGUGGUUGUGUUAUCC